rnacentral:misc_RNA from 1 species
GCAUCAAUGAGUAAAAUAAUUUCAUUCAACCUAGAUGUCUCAAGUCCUGCCACCUGGUGAACAUUAUUAUCAUAUGAAGCUUAGGAAGGUCUUUAGCGACUUCCUUACAGCUUUCUGAAUUUAUCUGGUCAUCAACUAAACAACUAUAAAAACAUGCUUCUACAUGUUUGUAUGCUUCCGUUCUUAGGUUUUCUUAAUAAUAAUAGUAAUGCACUUGUAUCAAUCGGCAAUUAUUUCCAUACGAUUUUACAUUUGAAGUUCUGGUUCUACAUAUCCUGUGCUGAUUGUUGUCUUACUGGAAGUAAUCACAGUCUUGUUUCUCAUGUGACUACAGUUUUGACUUCUUCAAAGGACU